AGAACGCUUCACCACUGCACUGUUCUUGUCUUCUAAACAGUAAAAGCCAAUGGAUUCUCCUGCCUCGUACUCCAUCAAUUUCCUGUCUCCUGAAAUUCCUUGUAGUGAAACAUAUAUGGAAAUGGUUGAAGUAAAAGGCUGGUGAAUCGGCUUGACCAUGUAGGUAAGGUCAAAUCCUGGGAAAAUGACAGAGAAACAAGAGAGAAGGAGUCUGGAUCUGUGGAUAACCCCACAGAACAGAAACAUGUAUCCUUCCUGGAAUGCACACUGGCUCUGAGCUGUGACAUGAGAAAGGAAUAAAUUUCCUACCUGUUUGAGCUACUGCAUCUCAAGGAGGUUGGUUUAUGGAAGGGAGGUUGCUUUAUGGAAGCAGCUUAAUUUCUACCCUAACUAU
rnacentral:lncRNA from 1 species